AGAAGAACCUGAGACCUGGAGCUGUUAACUUGCUCAGAACUGCAUGGACAGUAGCUUUAUUCCAAGAUGUUGGAUACGGCAUCAAAGAAUCUAGCAAGUUCAUCUUCCGGAACGAAUCCGUCCAGGAAGCAUCGGAUCUGCCCGUCUGGACUGGUUGCCUUUCCCUCUGAUGUACAGAGACAGAGCUGUCACCCUGGGAUCUCCGUCUCUUUUAUGAGUUUAAUCCCCUGCUUUCCGCAUCCGCGGCUGCCUGCUUCUCAGGGACUGCCUCUCCUCCAGCAGCUUCCUGAGGAAGAGAAACAGGGGACCAUGCACAAAUGGACUGUGGCCAGUUCUCUGAGAUGCUGCCAGGAAGAGAAAGCAGCAGAAACUCUCUAGCAGAGAAAGGUUCAGAUUUCCUGGAUCAAAUGUUCCCAAGGCCUGGGAGGUCAUGUGGUUUCAGAGGCAUAAGCUGAGUUUGGUGUAUAUUACAGAGAAGCCAUCCCAUCCGGGUGUGACCACUCUGAAGAUCUUCAUCCCAGUCCUUCAGCACAAAGAAAUACCUGCUGAAGCUGGUUUAUAUUCCAGGACAAGUAAAGGAGCAUGGUCAAGCUGUAAACCGCACUGAAGCUAUGGAUUUGCUGUUUUUAAAGUGAUGUUUGGUACUUAAUCUGAAUGGAGCUAAAUGACUUGAUCCUGUCUUUCAAGUAGCUGCUGAAAUACUCCUUCUUUGAGUCUUUUGAGAAUGAUUAGGACAGGAUAGAGCUGGGAACCUUGAACAUUUCAGCUUUCCUCUGCAAUCUAUCCAGUUAUCAGCAAUUUUAUCUGCUUGAAAUCUGAUUACUCUUUGAGAUGGAACUUUUGAAAGCUAUGACUGAUUAUAUAGUGCAUUCAUGAGUGCUUUAGUACAUUUAUAGCCCUCAAAAUGUAAUGAUCCAAAUGUUUGUUUGAUUACCUACUGUGCACCAGUCAGGUGUGUGGCCAUACAUGUCCGGUUCUUUGUGCAGCCUUCUUGCAGGCCUACCUGAUAUCAAAUAUCCACUAAAGGAUUUGGGUGGUGGAGAGCCACUGUCUUUGCUUAGCAUCUUUCACUUUGUCCUCGUUUCUCCUUCCCAUGAGUACCACUCUGCAGACCCUCAGCUUCUCACGGACACAUACUCACUGCAGCCUAUUGAUUGGUUUUCUGAUUUCCUUAUCGGGUAGUUCUGGAGUAAGUUCACUCUGUUGGCACUUUCCCCAAAAGAUAUUCCCCCAAAUGUACACUUUAUACACAGACCUCUUUGAAACACAAGCAACAAGCUAGCAGCAAGCUCAAGAGGUAAGGAUCGUGUCUGCCUCCUUGGAGUCCAGUACAGAGCCUGACAUACACAGCUGGUGAGCACUCCAUGCCAAUGAAUUUGUUUCUCAUGACUAUCUCCUAGAUUUUCACUUAAUACUUCAGACCUUUUAUCACUCAAUUGUACCAUCCUGGGUCUCAUGGCCAAUUUAAUGUGAUGUUCAAAAGAACAAAAAUCUAACUGCUUAAAAAAAUAAAAAUAAAUGUCUCUUCCUUGCAUUGGGAUUCAUAAGCAAAGGAUGCCCACAGAUGGGAAAACUCAUUAGCAUGAGCUUCUGAAGGUGGCCAUUGGUCUACCCUAUGGUGCAGGAUAUCCUGCUAGGUUUUUUCCAAAUCAGAAGGCUUUUCCCUACUUGACAAAAAUUAACUCAGCAAGAUCACAUCAUGCAAGAUACCUGAGAAUGAAAGUACUCUAUGCCUUUCUGAAGCAUGUUGUGCCUCAGGACCCAGCAUAACAGAAGGAAAAAAUGAAAGGGACUUGUCUCUUCUUUUGUACUCAGCAAAUGGGUAGAAAAUCAAAUAUACCAACACAAUCAUAAUGAAACUUCCUUCUCCAGUCCUAGAAUCUGACUUGCUUGAGAGACAAAGCCUCUUGCUGCCAAAAGUCUGUGAGUGAAUUCAUUCAUUCAUUCAUUCAUUCACCUUAUAUUUAUUAACUGACCACUAUGGAUUUGUCACUGUGCAUCUUUGGAAUCCUUGAAUUUGAGUCACAGGAGCAAGUGUUUUCUAGAAAUUGGGCUGAAAGUAAUUGUUCAUUGCUGAUGUCAUGUACAUCCACUGACAUUUAUUUAAUAAACUUUAGAGGCAGUAUGGCUUAGUAUUCAGGGCACAGACUCAGGGCUAGGAGCCUGGUUCCAGCACUAAUUAAAUUUGUCACCUUGGGCAGGGUACAUAGACCAACCCCAGCCUGCUUAUCUACUAACUAGAAUAUUAGUACGCACUUCAUUGCGCUGUUGUGAGACUUAAUUCUGUUAAUACAUGUAAUGUGCAUAAUGGUGCUUAAUACAGAGCAAGUGCUCAUAAAUGUGGGCUGCCAUUGUAAUAGAAUUUAAUAUUGAAAUGGUCCUGGCAUGAUGAAUUUGAAUUAAAUUGCUUCAGUUUAUUCUCUCCAAGCUUCAGUUUGCACAUCUAUAAAAUGAAGAUAGUAACAACUACCUUACAGAAAUGUUAUGAUUCAAAUGAGACAAUAUAUGUAGAAGUGUUUUGUAAAAAGCAAUGUCUGAUGUACUUCAAAGUUAUUUUCAUUAUGUUAAACUCUUGAAGAUGCCUAUAAUGAAACCCCUUUUCAAUUUCCCCAGGUUAUAUCUCCUGAGUGAAAUCAUAGAAAAGAAAGCAAGUUCAUAUCCUUGGCAGAGGAGAGAAAGAUUCUUGAUUAGAUCUCACCAAACUCUAUCUUGUAGGGGAAAAAAAUCACUCAGAAAGAGACUGGUGAAGGAUAUUAGGAAAAGACAAUGGAGGCUGAGCCACCAAAAUACAGUAAAUCUUUAUGAAGAGGGAUGGGGGCAGGCAUGUGACCCAAGCCAGGUCAACUAGAAUCUCCCUCAUUGAAUUUAAUUCUUGAGGAGAGGAAUUAAAUUCUGAGUGGAACAUUCCUUCCACUCAAUGACAGCCUCCUGGCCACGCAGUCCCCGCGUUACAUGACGUGCUUUCCAGGGCUGCCUGCACCCUUCUCCGCUUCCUAGCCUGGUCUUCUGGCUGCUGUCAAUCCUGAGAGCUCUUGUUCCUUUCCGUAAAUUACCCUUAGCCAAAUUUAACUUCUGUUGCUCGCAAAAAAGGUGCACUAACUAAUACUGGCCCUGACCUGCUGAUAAGGACAGCCACUGAAAGGACAUAUCUUCCUCUAGUUUCGUGCUGGUACUGUGAGUGCUGCACAUGUGUGUCCUGGUGUGCUUAUGACAGGUCCUGUAUCCUGUCAGAGCUCUUAAAAAUCACUUACUCACUUGUUCACUGGGAAAUUAUAUAUUGAGUCUCUGGGUAUCACUUUAGGCACAGGGGAUGCAUCAAGGAACAACACAGACAAACUCCUGUGUCCUCAUGAAUUUACAUUCUAGUGGAGGAAGAGACAUAAUAAACAAAAUAAAAAUAUACCUAAGACAUUAGAAGAUGAAAUGCCUCUGGAAAAAUACCCCAACAGAGAGGAUAGAAAGAGCCAAAGGUGAGGUUACCAUUUUAAACAGAGUUAUUAGCAAAGGACACUUAAGUAAAAGAAGGGUGGUGGGUUAGAGAACCAUAUAGAAACAGUGGGAAAAGCAUUGCUGGUAGAGGGAACAGAAAGUGCAAAAGUGCCAUGGUGGAAAGUUGCCUCCAGUGUUACAGGAACAGGAAAGGUGGUAUAGCUGGAGUGGGGUGAGCAACAGAGAGAGAUCAGGGAGGCAAUGGGAUAUGGGGGGCACACAGUGUAGGGCUAUUUUUAAGACUUUAGUUUCUACUGUGAGUGCGUUAAGAAGACAUCGGAGGGUACUGAACAAACAACAUACAGUUACCUUUAUGUCUCUCUUCUGUGCCCUGCAUCUGCUGGCUUUCAAGAACUGGACAGGACCCAUGCUUUCCAUUCCCGGCUUCACAGCUCUGCUCUGCUUCAGUCGGGCCUCUCUUCUCUCUAAACUGAGCACUCCACACACUUCCUUGCUUUGAUCCACUCUCUUCCCAAGCCCCAGUGUCCAUCAGGGGCCAUUUCCAACCCUUUCUCCUUCCUGAAGUUUUCUUGCAUUUAGUCAGGUCACAGCAAUCUUGCCCAUUUCUGAAUCUCUCAUGGACUAACUUCUACACACUCCAGCAGAGAUUUAGCCCAUACCCUCUUGGAUUUUAUUGAAUUUUUCAUGUAUGCCUGCCUUGUCUACCAACAACUAUAGAUUGUAAACUUUUGGAACAAAAGCACCA